rnacentral:rRNA from 1 species
AUGUUUUCUUCACCACCAGGGACUAGUUCCACUAAAGGUGUCCCAGUAGCGCAUCAAGGAAGCAUUCCUGUCACGCAUGUGUCUGGCAAUAUUUUCCAGUUCCAGGGCUCAUAUGCCGAGGGAUCCCAAUCAUCAAACACAAGAGUGAUACUAGACCCACCAAAGUCUACUACGAAAGGGCGUCCAAGAGAGAAAAGAUUCCAGCACCCAUUUGACAUUGCAAAGCCAAAAAAAGAGAGGAAGUGUAGAGUUUGUGGGUCGACAGAACAUGAUAAACGCAAAUGUACCUCACCCAUCCCGCACUGA